UGAGCAUCAAGUUAGACGUGAGAAGUGCUGAGAAGAUAAAGGAAACUUCAAAAAUGAUUAAGGUACGAUUCGUGAUGGUGGCUCUGAUGCUGGCUCUCCUGGUGCUACCGCGUAGCGAUGCCUUUUCCCUCGAUAUGCUCACGAUAGGCGCGCUCAAUGGGGGAAUUGGCCUCCAAAGACUAACUCGUGGCAGACUCGGCGCGAGUAAUUCCAUCUUCCGAGUGCCUAUGUUCCCUUCAGUCAUCCACUCUCCCCAGGUGAUGGAUCCUGCUGAUGUAGUGGAGCCACCCAGAAACUCAAUAUUUAUGGAAAGACUUGUUGGUUCUAAGAGAAAAUAAAUUUAAUGUUAUGCAAAUUGUU